GACCCAGUUAAUAAGUUGAAAUGCCCCCUUUGACGUUCCAGCCGCUGUUUGAUUUCCCGCGUGAAUAAGGGUAAAUAGAAGAUCGCGGAAUAUAUUAAAAGACAACGUAGGCGCACGAGGCAUUUUAGUCUUUCUCUCCAUUCUGAGUGACGUCUUUUCUGCGCCUGGUUAUGCCUCUGACUCACUACCUCGUCGACCGAGUAAUAUUAGAACGUGCCGGGAGAGUUGACUCGCAUGUACCUCGAGUCACUCUUCAAUCCUCGUCGUUCGUACACCGUAGAUUUCCCUUGCUGUAUGCAGCACGGACAAAUUAAUUGCAACUGCGAGAAAAAGGGGUUAACACGGAUCACCGAGGCAAAGAGAGAAGUACAAAGCUGAAGUGAAAGUCCGUUAUACGUUACGCGUAGUAUAAAAUUGUGCACAAGACGAUGGAACAAUGAAAUUUGGAGGCAUCUUAUAAAACUAAAUGCUUUGUUUAAUACACGAGUAAUAUAGAAAUAUAUUUAUGGAAAUAUGAGUCACACAGAAGUAAAAUAUUGUUCAAGGCUCAUCUAUCAAUCUCGUCGUUGGAAAUGCGUGGACAAAUUACGAUGCGCAUUUGUCCUUAAGAAAAUUUCCUGGAAUCUUGAUACAUACAAUCGUCCAGCAAUGUAGAAAGACAAUAACCUGCUUAGUCAGUGAACCGCUGACUUGGCCAGAAGCGAUAAGGAAGGACAAUGAAAAAUCGAUGGUACAUACUUGGAACGUAUGGAGAAACAUUCUCGUCUCGUCGAGGUUGACUAAAUAAAGAUUUAAACUGGCGAACGUGUUGUGAAACGAUGCAGAACUCGUUCCAAGUUUCCAAGUGCUUCGGAUACAACAAAACAGCUUUGCACACAAUUUGUAUUAUUAAAUCCUCGAUUGUCUUCGUGACAAAUAACAAAUUAUUGUUUAACUUCGCUGUACAAUAGCCACGUGUUUUAAUCGAUUCUGUAAUAAUAAUAAUUCGUCAAUCUCUACUUUAAUCAACUUUAAUCUAAUCUCUACUCCACUUUAAGUGAUGAGACAAUUGACUUUUUUACCUGUUAGUGAUCAAUCGAUAAUAGUAAUUGAUUUAAUUACGUAUAAAAUAUUGAUUUAAAACUCAAUAUCGAAAUGAAUCGUCAUUUCUCGAAGUAUCGGUCCAUUGAGAAAAUAAUAAACAUAUAAAUGUAUUAAAAAUGUUUCAUUUACUACAAAAGAUACUACAAAAGGUCGACUAGGAAAAUUCUAGUUUCGCACAGAAAAUGAUACAGGAAGAGAUACGACACGAAGGGCAGAUAACCCGUUACCAGUGUCAAGGUAUUGGAUAGAAUCUUUUACUGUGGCGAUUAUUUCUCGACUGGUUGACUAGGUAGCAGGGGAAUUAAGCCACGCUCACACUAUCAUACUAUCGUUGGAACGUUGCACGUUGCUAAUACAGUCAUACGGUGAUAUGAUUUUAUAGUCCGUAAUUGAGGAAAGAUUCUCAUAUUAACAAAGAAUACCAAUGUACAUACAAACCAGACAGAUAAUGCGAUCUUACAUCAUUUAUUUCAAUGAUCAUGUGAACGCGACGUUAGAUAGUUCAAUUCAACUUGUUUAUACCGUAUAAGAGAAUAAGGAACUUCGACACGAAUAACCUUACCGACAACUUCAAGAGUAGCUAGAUAUUAUACAGGAUGUCAUAUCUUUUUGUUCGUGUGAAAUUAGAAAUGACAUUGCGUAGAAGAUAAAGAGAAAGCUUGAGAGAAGAAUCGUAUGAACGUGGAUUUUUUUUUUUUUGUUAUUUUACAAUUUGUCCUUAUGGACAUUUGGUAAAGUGUUAUAUCUUAUUGGUGAAGAAUAAAAUAAAAUAAAAAUAAAUA